rnacentral:rRNA from 1 species
AACGAACGCUGGCGGCAUGCCUAACACAUGCAAGUCGAACGAAGUCUUCGGACUUAGUGGCGCACGGGUGCGUAACGCGUGGGAAUCUGCCCUUGGGUGCGGAAUAACUUCUCGAAAGGGAUGCUAAUACCGCAUAAUGUCGUAAGACCAAAGAUUUAUCGCCCAAGGAUGAGCCCGCGUAAGAUUAGCUAGUUGGUGGGGUAAAAGCCUACCAAGGCGACGAUCUUUAGCUGGUCUGAGAGGAUGAUCAGCCACACUGGGACUGAGACACGGCCCAGACUCCUACGGGAGGCAGCAGUGGGGAAUAUUGGACAAUGGGCGAAAGCCUGAUCCAGCAAUGCCGCGUGAGUGAUGAAGGCCCUAGGGUUGUAAGACUCUUUUACCAGGGAUGAUAAUGACAGUACCUGGAGAAUAAGCUCCGGCUAACUCCGUGCCAGCAGCCGCGGUAAU